UUGAAAGUCUGUCACGAAUAACUGCGCUUCUAUUGCCAUUUGGAAAUUUUGCGUCCAGGAGGAGAGUUCUAUAGCCCAUUUCUUCCGUAGAGAUGUCCGGAUUUUUUUUGAACGUUUGCCAACUUGGUUUUUUUACCUACCUUGUGCUUUUUUCUUACAUUUCUGUAACCACUUCAGUGAGUUUUGAUUUAACCGAACUUGGAAAUAAAAUUGCGAAAAUUAAAGUUAAUCAAAGAGGGAAUCUUUGGGCAACAGGUCAUUUUAUGGGGAAGAAGAGUGUCAUGGAUAGCCCUCUGCUCCAGUCUCCGGAUGGGCAGACUGUGGAUGCGUUCGAGGUUGCCUUGAGUCCGGAGCAGAACGGGAUGGGAAAUCUCUUCCAAGAUGUGCUGAGGGUCGCGUUGCAAGCCCAACUCAGAGAUGACACAGAGAACCGCUCUAAAAACCAGGAUGUCGGCAGACGGAGCUGGGAGGGUCGUCAGUGACAUGGGACACACCUGGGCCCGGGUGUGUCCCGGGAUAAAUACACCCAUUCAUCGAGGAGACUCUCCAUGCAGACACACUGUUUGGUUGUGUCCGUUUUGUUUGUUUGUUUGCUUUGGCACCUUUCAACACCCCUCAUUAUCACAUUUAUGCACGCAACCACUCACUUACACUACUGAUUACUGACACACACCAUUGUUAAUUGUAUUUACGUUACUUCAGUUAAUAAAUAUGUUUGCUAUUCCUUAUCUCCACAUUGUCUCCCUUUUUGUUAUGGACUUCGAGACGGUUUGUGACCAGUGGGGGCUCUAUCCAGGUUCCUGUAAACUGACAGUGUGGGGUUUUAAGUAGUUUUAUGGACAUUUACCGCACACAACAUCUAAUACAUGUAGAUGUUAGGAACAAAUGGUGGCCAAUAGCCACAUUUCCCCAUCUCACACUAUGGGUGCUUGAUCAUUCAGUAAGGUCUGCACCCAGGGUCUGCUCACUCCCACCACACAUCUGCCACUUCAGUUCAGACCCACUUCAAAUGUUCUGUUCACGGCUCAAAAACACAGCUGAGAACACACCUGUUUAGGACUCCUUUUAAAUAACCCAAUGACGUUCUCUCUGAUGUCUUUGUGUCCUCACCUGUCUGACUCCUCCCUCAUGUCUGAUGUCUGAUGUUCUAUUGUUUUGACUCUGUAUUCGUCAGUUAUCUCUCCACUGCUCUGUAACCAGGGUUGGGGUCAAUUCCAUUUACAUUCCACUCAAUUCAGAAAGUAAG